rnacentral:rRNA from 1 species
GGACUACUGGGGUUUCUAAUCCUGUUUGCUCCCCACGCUCUCGCGCCUCAGUGUCAGUGUCAAUCCAGGUAGUCGCCUUCGCCACUGGUGUUCCUUCCGAUAUCUACGCAUUUCACCGCUACACCGGAAAUUCCACUACCCUCUAUCGCACUCCAGCUACACAGUAUAAGAUGCAAUUCCCAGGUUAAGCCCGGGGAUUUCACAUCUCACUUACGUAACCACCUACGCGCCCUUUACGCCCAGUAAUUCCGAUUAACGCUCGCACCCUCUGUAUUACCGCGGCUGCUGGCAC